GACGGAGGGUGCGAGCGUUAUUCGGAAUCAUUGGGCGUAAAGAGCGUGUAGGCGGCCGGUUAAGCCAGGUGUGAAAGCCCGGGGCUCAACCUCGGAAGUGCACUUGAAACUGGUCGGCUUGAGUUCGGGAGAGGGAAGCGGAAUUCCUGGUGUAGAGGUGAAAUUCGUAGAUAUCAGGAGGAACACCGGUGGCGAAGGAGGCUUCCUGGACCGAAACUGACGUUGAGACGGGGAAGCGUGGGGAGCAAACAGG
rnacentral:rRNA from 1 species